GUGGUACAGGAUGGCCCCGCGUCUGAUUAGUUGGUUGGCAGGGUAACGGCCUACCAAGACGGCGAUCAGUAGCCGGCCUGAGAGGGUGAACGGCCACACUGGGACUGAGACACGGCCCAGACUCCUGCGGGAGGCAGCAGUGGGGAAUAUUGCACAAUGGGGGAAACCCUGAUGCAGCGACGCCGCGUGAGCGAGGAAGUAUUUCGGUAUGUAAAGCUCUGUCAGCAGGGAAGAAGAAUGACGGUACCUGAAGAAGAAGCACCGGCUAAAUACGUGCCAGCAGCCGCGGUAAUACGUAUGGUGCAAGCGUUAUCCGGAUUUACUGGGUGUAAAGGGAGCGCAGGCGGUUCUGCAAGUCUGAUGUGAAAGCCCGGGGCUCAACCGCGGGACUGCAUUGGAAACUGCGGGACUGGAGUGUCGGAGGGGUAAGCGGAAUUCCUGGUGUAGCGGUGAAAUGCGUAGAUAUCAGGAGGAACACCGGUGGCGAAGGCGGCUUACUGGACGAUGACUGACGCUGAGGCUCGAAAGCGUGGGGAGCAAACAGGAUUAGAUACCCUGGUAGUCCACGCCGUAAACGAUG
rnacentral:rRNA from 1 species